GCUGAGACAGGCAGGAUUGGGGAAACAUCUUUUACCUCCUCUCUUACCUGUUUUAGA
ensembl:miRNA